CCUACGGGAGGCAGCAGUGAGGAAUAUUGGUCAAUGGGCGCGAGCCUGAACCAGCCAAGUCGCGUGAAGGAUGACGGUCCUAUGGAUUGUAAACUUCUUUUGUGCAGGAAUAAAGUGAGGAACGUGUUCCUUUUUGUAUGUACUGUACGAAUAAGCAUCGGCUAACUCCGUGCCAGCAGCCGCGGUAAUACGGAGGAUGCGGGCGUUAUCCGGAUUUAAUGGGUUUUAGGCGUGCGGAGGCGGGCUGAUAGAAAGUUUGCAGCUUAACUGUAAAAUUGCCAUUGAAACUGUUAGUCUUGAGUGCAAAUGAGGUAGGCGGAAUGUGUUGUGUAGCGGUGAAAUGCUUAGAUAUAACACAGAACUCCGAUUGCGAAGGCAGCUUACUGGGAUGCAACUGACGCUGAUGCACGAAAGCGUGGGUAUCAAACAGGAUUAGAUACCCUAGUAGUC
rnacentral:rRNA from 1 species